rnacentral:rRNA from 1 species
AACGCGAAGAACCUUACCUACCCUUGACAUCCUGCGAAUCUGGCUGAGAGGCUGGAGUGCCGAAAGGAACGCAGAGACAGGUGCUGCAUGGCUGUCGUCAGCUCGUGUUGUGAGAUGUUGGGUUAAGUCCCGUAACGAGCGCAACCCUUGUCCUUAGUUGCCAGCAAGUAAAGUUGGGCACUCUAAGGAGACCGCCGGUGACAAACCGGAGGAAGGUGGGGAUGACGUCAAGUCAUCAUGGCCUUUAUGGCCAGGGCUACACACGUGCUACAAUGGUAGAUACAGAGGGUUGCCAACGCGCGAGCGGGAGCCAAUCCCAGAAAAUCUAUCGUAGUCCGGAUUGGAGUCUGCAACUCGACUCCAUGAAGUCGGAAUCGCUAGUAAUCGCAGAUCAGCAUUGCUGCGGUGAAUACGUUCCCGGGCCUUGUACACACCGCGCAUA